rnacentral:lncRNA from 1 species
UUGGCUAUUUGAAUCUGAACCGAAUAUUAUUCAAUUCUAGUUUUGAAAGUAGGCAAGUCCGCCUCUAGUGUUUGCCCACAUGCUGUCAUGUGUGCCACUGACUCUUUCAUAUUGCAUAAUGCUCUUUGUGAUGCUGCAUCUGCCUACUCUUAGGACAUUUGUCCUUUUGUUGCAGUUAUUUUUCAUUUUUGUUCCAGAUUUUAACGUCUCACCUUUUCUCACAUUUCAUGCACGGCCAAUUAUAUCACUUGAUUUAACUGCUAAACUUUCUUUGCA